GCCAUUUAUAACCAUAAUGGAUGUGAGGUGGGGCUCAGACCCAGUUUAGAGGGGCCAGGCCAUUUAUAACCAUAAUGGAUGCGAGGUGGGGCUCAGACCCAGUUUAGAGGGGCCAGGCCAUUUAUAACCAUAAUGGAUGUGAGGUGAGGCUCAGACCCAGUUUAGAGGGGCCAGGCCAUUUAUAACCAUAAUGGAUGCGAGGUGGGGCUCAGACCCAGUUUAGAGGGGCCAGGCCAUUUAUAACCAUAAUGGAUGUGAGGUGGGGCUCAGACCCAGUUUAGAGGGGCCAGGCCAUUUAUAACCAUAAUGGAUGUGAGGUGAGGCUCAGACCCAG